UCUCCGUUGGUGAACCAGCGGAGGGAUCAUUACCGAGUUUACAAACUCCCAAACCCUUUGUGAACCUUACCAUAUUGUUGCUUCGGCGGGACCGCCCCGGCGCCUUCGGGCCCGGAACCAGGCGCCCGCCUAGGAAACUUAAUUCUUGUUUUAUUUUGGAAUCUUCUGAGUAGUUUUUACAAAUAAAUAAAAACUUUCAACAACGGAUCUCUUGGUUCUG
rnacentral:misc_RNA from 1 species